UUGUCCAGAGUCAAAGAUGCUCCACUGAGGCUGUUUCGCUUAGAAAUAUUUGGGAGCCUGCUGUGCUGGAACAGGGUCUCACUGGUGACUGCUACCACUUCAAGGCUGGGGUGCUGAGGGCCGCACAGCUGUACAGAGCAAAAACACUACUGACAAUGAAGGCAGGGAACAUCAACGUGGCUGGAGUGCAGUGGCAUGAACAUGGCUCACUACAGCCUCAACCUCCUGAGCUCAAGCGAUCCUCCCACCCCAGCCUCCCAAGUAGCUGGGACUACAGGUGCAUGCCACCAUGCCUGGCUACUUUUUGCAUUUUUUGUAGAGACAGGGUUUUGCCGUGUUGCCCAGGCUUGUCUC
rnacentral:antisense_RNA from 1 species